rnacentral:rRNA from 1 species
AUGUCGAGCUGCACGUUGGGGAUCGCGGUAUGCAAGGACGCCAAGUUAUUUUCAAGACCUAGGCGCAUGCUGGAUUUUGUACCGAUACACACCUUGAGUCUACUGGCUAUGCUGUCAUUUGCUAAUUUAGAAGCAUGGGAAAAGUUUACCUCCAUAUUAGCCGCAAAGACAUCUGUCAUGUCCUUCAAGCCCUGGUUCAUGGCAUUGACUUGCUCCCUUGCUGCUAUGAGGAAGCCCCUUGGCAUCACGUCAAUGUCGGGUUCGUCUAGGAUUUCUUGUCAUUCUGGCCGGGAAGGGUUGACGCAGCCUCAGAAGUGGUCACACACAUUUUCACGUAGGCUUUUGGUACAACAGCCAUGCCAAGCGUGGCAGUAG